GACGAACCGUGCGAACGUUGUUCGGAAUCACUGGGCUUAAAGAGCGUGUAGGCGGCCAUGUAGGUCCGGUGUGAAAACUCGAGGCUUAACCUCGAGAUGUCAUCGGAAACCAUUUGGCUAGAGUCCGGAAGAGGAGAGUGGAAUUCCUGGUGUAGCGGUGAAAUGCGCAGAUAUCAGGAAGAACACCAAUGGCGAAAGCAGCUCUCUGGGACGGUACUGACGCUGAGACGCGAAAGCGUGGGGAGCGAACAGG
rnacentral:rRNA from 1 species